UAUUGCACAAUGGAGGGCACUCUGAUGCAGCGACGCUGCGUGAGUGAAGAAGUAAUUCGUUAUGUAAAGCUCUAUCAGCAGGGAAGAAAUUGACGUUACCUGAAAAAGAUGCUCCGGCUAAAUACGUGCCAGCAGCCGCGGUAAUACGUAUGGAGCAAGCGUUAUCCGGAUUUACUGGGUGUAAAGGGAGAGUAGGUGGCAGAGCAAGUCCGAAGUGAAAACCCAAAGCUCAACUAUGGGAAUGCUUUAGAAACUGCUCAGCUAGAGUGCAGGAGAGGCAAGUGGAAUUCCUAGUGUAGCGGUGAAAUGCGUAGAUAUUAGGAGGAACACCAGUGGCGAAGGCGGCUUACUGGACUGUAACUGACGUUGAGGCUCGAAAGCGUGGGGAGCAAAC
rnacentral:rRNA from 1 species